GCAGCAGCCGCGGUAAUACGGAGGGUGCAAGCGUUAAUCGGAAUUACUGGGCGUAAAGCGUGCGUAGGCGGUUCGUUAAGUCUGCUGUGAAAUCCCCGGGCUCAACCUGGGAAUGGCAGUGGAUACUGGCUCGCUAGAGUGUGUCAGAGGAUGGUGGAAUUCCCGGUGUAGCGGUGAAAUGCGUAGAGAUCGGGAGGAACAUCAGUGGCGAAGGCGGCCAUCUGGGACAACACUGACGCUGAGGCACGAAAGCGUGGGGAGCAAACAGGAUUAGAUACCCCUGUAGUCCCUGUCUCUUAUAC
rnacentral:rRNA from 1 species